UACGAAGGGGGGCUAGCGUUGUUCGGAAUCACUGGGCGUAAAGCGCACGUAGGCGGACUUUCAAGUCAGGGGUGAAAUCCCGGAGCUCAACUUCGGAAUUGCCUUUGAUACUGUUGGUCUCGAGUCCGGAAGAGGUGGGUGGAAUUCCUAGUGUAGAGGUGAAAUUCGUAGAUAUUAGGAAGAACACCGGUGGCGAAGGCGGCCCACUGGUCCGGUACUGACGCUGAGGUGCGAAAGCGUGGGGAGCAAACAGG
rnacentral:rRNA from 1 species